rnacentral:misc_RNA from 1 species
UAAAAUGCUACAGCUCAAUCCCAACUAUCUUUCCCAAAACUGAGAAAACCAGCUAAGAGGCCAAACAGAAAUGGCAUUAUUUCCAUUGGUUAUUUUACGAAGCCUGCAAUACCCGGCAACGGUAUUCUCCCAAUGCCCAAAUGGGAAAAAUAUCCCUGUAAGCUGCAUAAGUGAUCAUACAAUUCUUGUUGAAAACUCCCAUGAUUUCCUGCUGUGGAAAAUCUCCAUUUUCCAUCUGAGCAUUUAUUAAAUAUCUUGCCGCACAGUGCAACGGUGUUGGAUCUCUCUCAGCCUGUCCAGCAUCAAUAAGACUCAACAUAGCCCAAGCAGUGUUGACCACAUGAGACUUGUUGCCUUCAAGAUAGGAAUAAACCUUUUGUUGACAUGAAAGAUAACUCUCUCCCCAGCAACCAGCAGGGCACUGUUUAGAAAGAAGAAAAUCACAAGCUUUACGGAUACUAGAGCAAUUAUUUAAGUUCUUUCCAGCAGCCACCAACCCUUUUAUGCCAAACCAUGUACCAUAGGUGAAGCAAACACCCCAUGAGCCAUACCAUGAGCCAUCCUCCGCCUGUAUUUUUUCUAGGAACUCAGUUGCCUUUUUGAUACAACUUUCUAUUUCCUCUCGCCGAUGUUCAGGAUGUAGUUUAUUAAAUGAUGUCAGAGCUUGAAUUGCAGCAGAAGUACAUUCAACAUAAGGGUAAUCAAUGACAAUGUCACCAAAAGUUUCAGCAGGGUUGAUCAACUCCAACCACCUGUAAGAUCUUGUGAGCUCAUAUGUGGCAAAGCCGCCAUCACCAUUCUGCAAUGACAGAACAACAUUCACUGCAUCAUAUAAACGGUUUGCAUCUAAUGCUUCCCCAACAAUCUCUGAGGGAAUUUUUGAUAGCAAGAGAACGGCUUUUAAUCCCUCUGCAGUGCAGUCUGAGAUGGGCCAUCCAUGAUCUGCAGUUGAAAAGGGCCAUGCACCUUUUGAAAUGUGACGAUACCAAAGUUUAUGAUCUCCGGAACAAUUUUCCAAAACCUGCGAUUUUUUAAUGUAUGUAUGUGCUUUUCUUAAAGUUGGACCAUAUUCCUCAACAAGAUUUGUUGACAAAAUUGCUUGAACUGCAAAAGAUGUGUCCCACAAUUGACUUCCAUUAUAACCCUGCAUUUUCAUUCCAUCUUCAGCGAUCCAGAGGUAAUCAUAUAUUCUCGGAAGAUGUAGCUUGAAAGCUUCUGAAUUUGGGUCCUCCACCCAACAGCAGAGCAUAUUUAACACCUUGUUCACUGGUCCUAUGCAUACGUAACGAGUGUUUUCAUCUUCAUAGUGUAUGUGCUCAAUUGCAACAUGAAGGGCCUUUUCUCUCAACCUUUUUCCAGGCCAACGC